rnacentral:rRNA from 1 species
GACAGAGGCCUCAAGCGUUAGGCGGAAUCACUGGGCUUAAAGCGUGUGUAGGCGGACGCCUAAGUGUCUUGUGAAAUCCCCCCGGCUCACCCGGGGAACUGCUGGGCAUACUGGGCGUCUUGGGCCAACUAGGGGCAACUGGAACAAGCGGUGGAGCGGUGAAAUGCGUAGAUAUCAGGAGGAACACCGGUGGCGAAGGCGGGUCUCUGGGCCGAUAUUGACGCUGAGGAGCGAAAGCGUGGGGAGCGAACAGG